GAAAUCGUAGGACUCGCUGUCAGCUAUGGAGAUUUAGGAUUUAGGUUAAACUAAGGUUGAGGACGAACGAUAGUUUGGGGCUUUUACUUCAGUCGUCUUCUUGCAAAACAUGCCCAAUUUUGGGAGCGAUGUUCAGUUUUUUUUUUAUAAAAAAAAAUUGUAGAAACCCAAAACUGCCAUUCAGAUGGCAUGAGAGGAAUGGUCAAAUCACUAGUGGGGAGGGUCCCACGUGUGCCACGUCAGCAGUUAACGAUUGACCGUCUGGUCAACUUAACAAAAGGAUGAAAUUGGACGAUGUUCAAACCAUCAGGGCAUAAAUUGAUAAAAUUGAUAUUGUG
rnacentral:lncRNA from 1 species